AAGCGGGGGAUAACACCUGGAAACAGAUGCUAAUACCGCAUAACAACUUGGACCGCAUGGUCCGAGUUUGAAAGAUGGCUUCGGCUAUCACUUUUGGAUGGUCCCGCGGCGUAUUAGCUAGAUGGUGGGGUAACGGCUCACCAUGGCAAUGAUACGUAGCCGACCUGAGAGGGUAAUCGGCCACAUUGGGACUGAGACACGGCCCAAACUCCUACGGGAGGCAGCAGUAGGGAAUCUUCCACAAUGGACGAAAGUCUGAUGGAGCAACGCCGCGUGAGUGAAGAAGGGUUUCGGCUCGUAAAACUCUGUUGUUAAAGAAGAACAUAUCUGAGAGUAACUGUUCAGGUAUUGACGGUAUUUAACCAGAAAGCCACGGCUAACUACGUGCCAGCAGCCGCGGUAAUACGUAGGUGGCAAGCGUUGUCCGGAUUUAUUGGGCGUAAAGCGAGCGCAGGCGGUUUUUUAAGUC
rnacentral:rRNA from 1 species